GCGCGAAAACUCUGCAAUAAGCGAAAGCUUGACAGGGUUAUUCUGAGUGAUUUCCGCUAAGGAAAUCUUUUGGCACCUCUAAAAAUGGUGCAGAAUAAGGGGUGGGCAAGCCUGGUGUCAGCCGCCGCGGUAAUACCAGCACCCCGAGUGGUCGGGACGAUUAUUGGGCCUAAAGCAUCCGUAGCCGGUUCUACAAGUCUUCCGUUAAAUCCACCUGCUUAACAGAUGGGCUGCGGAGGAUACUAUGGAGCUAGGAGGCGGGAGAGGCAAGCGGUACUUAGUGGGUAGGGGUAAAAUCCGUUGAUCCAUUGAAGACCACCAGUGGCGAAGGCGGCUUGCCAGAACGCACUCGACGGUGAGGGAUGAAAGCUGGGGGAGCAAACCGG
rnacentral:rRNA from 1 species